rnacentral:rRNA from 1 species
UGCUGACGACCGGCGCACGGGUGCGGAACGCGUAUGGAACCUGCCCCUGUCAGGGGAAUAGCCCAGAGAAAUUUGGAUUAAUGCCCCAUGGUAUCGAAUUACCGCAUGGUAAUUUGAUUAAAGAUUUAUCGGACAGGGAUGGCCAUGCGUACCAUUAGCUAGUUGGUAAGGUAACGGCUUACCAAGGCAACGAUGGUUAGGGGCCCUGAGAGGGGGAUCCCCCACACUGGUACUGAGACACGGACCAGACUCCUACGGGAGGCAGCAGUGAGGAAUAUUGGACAAUGGCCGGAAGGUUGAUCCAGCCAUGCCGCGUGCAGGAUGACGGCCCUAUGGGUUGUAAACUGCUUUUACACGGGAAGAAACCUCCCCUCGUGAGGGGAGCUGACGGUACCGUGAGAAUAAGGACCGGCUAACUCCGUGCCAGCAGCCGCGGUAAUACGGAGGGUCCGAGCGUUAUCCGGAAUCAUUGGGUUUAAAGGGUCCGUAGGCGGGCCUAUAAGUCAGGGGUGAAAGGCCACGGCUCAACCGUGGGACUGCCCUUGAUACUGUAGGUCUUGAGUUAUAGUGGGUUGCCGGAACAUGUGGUGUAGCGGUGAAAUGCAUAGAUAUCACAUAGAACACCGAUCGCGAAGGCAGGUGACCAACUAUAUACUGACGCUGAUGGACGAAAGCGUGGGUAGCGAACGGGAUUAGAUACCCCGGUAGUCCACGCCGUAAACGAUGGAUACUAGCUGUCGGGAUUUCGGUCUCGGCGGCCAAGCGAAAGUGAUAAGUAUCCCACCUGGGGAGUACGUUCGCAAGAAUGAAACUCAAAGGAAUUGACGGGGGCCCGCACAAGCGGUGGAGCAUGUGGUUUAAUUCGAUGAUACGCGAGGAACCUUACCAGGGCUUAAAUGCGGGCUGCAUGGGA